rnacentral:ncRNA from 1 species
CUAAAAGGUUUGGUCCUAGCCUUCCUAUUAGUUGUUAGUAAAAUUACACAUGCAAGUAUCCGCAUCCCUGUGAGAAUGCCCUCUAAAUCACAAUUAAUGAUUAAAAGGAGUAGGUAUCAAGCACGCUCUUUAUAGAGUAGCUAAUAACACCUUGCUUUGCCACACCCCCACGGGAAACAGCAGUGAUAAAAAUUAAGCAAUAAACGAAAGUUUGACUAAGUUAUGCUAACACCAGGGUUGGUAAAUUUCGUGCCAGCCACCGCGGUCAUACGAUUAACCCAAACUAAUAAGCAACGGCGUAAAGCGUGUUAAAGACAACAAUAACCAAUAAAGAUAAAACCUAACUAGGCUGUAGAAAGCAACAGUUAGUGUUAAAAUAAUCUACGAAAGUGACUUUAUUAAAUCUGACACACGAUAGCUGAGAUCCAAACUGGGAUUAGAUACCCCACUAUGCUCAGCCCUAAACCUAAAUAACUUAUAAACAAAGUUAUCCGCCAGAGAACUACUAGCAAUAGCUUAAAACUCAAAGGACUUGGCGGUGCUUUAUAUCCCUCUAGAGGAGCCUGUUCUAUAAUCGAUAAACCCCGAUAAACCUCACCACCCCUUGCUAAUUCAGCCUAUAUACCGCCAUCUUCAGCAAACCCUAAAAAGGAGUAGUAGUAAGCAUAAGUAUCAGACAUAAAAACGUUAGGUCAAGGUGUAGCUUAUGAGGUGGGAAGAAAUGGGCUACAUUUUCUAUAUUUAGAACAUUAUCUACUUAAACGAAAGUUCUUAUGAAAUUAAGAACUAAAGGUGGAUUUAGCAGUAAGUUAAGAACAGAGUGCUUAACUGAAUUAGGCCAUGAAGCACGCACACACCGCCCGUCACCCUCCUCAAGUACCUAAAAAUUGAUAAAUCCAUAAUCAUUAUGUCCCCAGUAUUAGAGGAGAUAAGUCGUAACAAGGUAAGCAUACUGGAAAGUGUGCUUGGAUGAAU